rnacentral:rRNA from 1 species
UUCGAAGGGUGCAAGCGUUAAUCGGAAUUACUGGGCGUAAAGCGUGCGUAGGCGGUGAGUUAAGUCUGUUGUGAAAUCCCCGGGCUCAACCUGGGAAUGGCAAUGGAUACUGGCUCGCUAGAGUGUGAUAGAGGAUGGUGGAAUUCCCGGUGUAGCGGUGAAAUGCGUAGAUAUUGGGAAGAACACCUGAGGCGAAGGCGGGUUGCUGGGCUGACACUGACGCUGAGGCGCGAAAGCCAGGGGAGCGAACGGG